rnacentral:tRNA from 1 species
GCGGAGGUUGCCAAGCCUGGCCAAAGGCGCUGGGCUUAGGAUCUCGUAGGAGUUCGCGAGUUCAAAUCUCGCCCUCCGCACCA